GGAAUAUAAGAACCUGUCUCUUAAUUUUUAACUAAAAAAAGCUAAGAACCGACUUUUAAAUAAGAUACUUAAGAACCGGUUUUUAUCUUUUUUAGUUAAAAGUUAAGAAAUGGGUCCUUAUAUUCC
rfam:Brassica napus, WGS project CCCW01000000 data, contig: 23117